AUUGAACGCUGGCGGAAUGCUUUACACAUGCAAGUCGAGCGGCAGCGCGGGGCAACCUGGCGGCGAGCGGCGAACGGGUGAGUAAUACAUCGGAACGUACCCAGUUGUGGGGGAUAGCCCGGCGAAAGCCGGAUUAAUACCGCAUACGACCUGAGGGUGAAAGGGGGGNGUCGCAAGACCUCUCGCAGUUGGAGCGGCCGAUGGCGGAUUAGCUAGUUGGUAGGGUAAAGGACCUACCAAGGCGACGAUCCGUAGCUGGUCUGAGAGGACGACCAGCCACACUGGAACUGAGACACGGACCCAACUCCUACGGGAGGCAGCAGUAAGGAAUAUUGGACAAUGGGCGCAAGCCUGAUCCAGCCAUG
rnacentral:rRNA from 1 species